rnacentral:rRNA from 1 species
GACGAACGCUGGCGGCGUGCCUAACACAUGCAAGUCGAACGGGACCCGCAAGGGUUCAGUGGCGAACGGGUGCGUAACACGUGAAGAAUUUAUCCAACGGCGGGGGGAUAGCCGGCCCAACGGCCGGGUAAUACCGCGUACGACCCUCGGGGGGCAUCCCCUGAAGGUGAAAGCCGCAAGGCGCCGAUGGAGAACUUCGCGGCCUAUCAGCUAGUUGGUGAGGUCAUGGCUCACCAAGGCGACGACGGGAGCUGGUCCGAGAGGAUGACCAGCCACAUUGGGACUGAGACACGGCCCAGACUCCUACGGGAGGCAGCAGU